AUUGAACGCUGGCGGCAUGCUUUACACAUGCAAGUCGAACGGCAGCGCGGGCUUCGGCCUGGCGGCGAGUGGCGAACGGGUGAGUAAUGCAUCGGAACGUGCCCAGUAGUGGGGGAUAGCCCGGCGAAAGCCGGAUUAAUACCGCAUACGACCUGAGGGUGAAAGCGGGGGACCGAAAGGCCUCGCGCUAUUGGAGCGGCCGAUGUCGGAUUAGCUAGUUGGUGGGGUAAAGGCUUACCAAGGCGACGAUCCGUAGCUGGUCUGAGAGGACGACCAGCCACACUGGGACUGAGACACGGCCCAGACUCCUACGAGAGGCAGCAGUGGGGAAUUUUGGACAAUGGGGGCAACCCUGAUCCAGCCAUGCCGCGUGAGGGAAGAAGGCCUUCGGGUUGUAAACCGCUUUUGUUCGGGAAGAAAUCCUCUGGGCUAAUACCCCGGGGGGAUGACGGUACCGGAAGAAUAAGCACCGGCUAACUACGUG
rnacentral:rRNA from 1 species